CAGGGGCGUGGCCAAAGAAAAGGGGAAAAAAAUGGCAGGACAGCCUUGUUUGGCGACCCCCGUGAAAUGGUCGUUCGACCCCAAAUGGGGUCCCGACCCCCAGGUUGAGAACCACUGCUCUAUAGUGUGUUGUGUAGAAUCUUGCUCUUCAUGCUCUGAAUGUCUAUGGAGAUUCUCGGUCAUCGUGGUUGUCCCAAAGGUGCUUUUUUUAAGGAGGCAACGGGACUUUAUCCGAGAAGCUUCUUCAGCUCUGACUGGAUGGUGGGGGAAUGGAAGGAUUUAUACUCCUUGCAGACAGCUGGUCAUUUGCAUCCUUUCAGAGAGUUGUUGAAGCCAUCUGUGUCCACUGAACAACCCUGUGACUAACUUAACCUCUGUGGCAAGGCUGCAAAAUGGAGCAAAACUCACUUAGCAACAGAAAUACGGGGUUUCAUUAUGGCCGUAACUCAAGGGCCACCUGUACUUUGGCCAGCCAAGGUCAGGAUUGGCAAACUUACUUAUAAGCUAGUUAAACAGAAAUAAAUCAACCCUGUUCUGCCAGGGCAGAAAAUGUUCCGAGGACACAACACAGCUUAAUUCAGGAACCAGUAAGAAAAGGCCGAGUCUGAGAAUUUUACUGGAAUUUUCUUUCCCCUUGAAAAGUCUCAAAUUCACUUUUUCCCCCAUUGCACAGGUUUGCUCCUGCUAGUGAGUGUCUCAGUUUACCUGGAGUUUCAGAGCUGGUCAAAAAAAGUUCACCAUCCCCUUGUUCUGACGUGUAUAUUCGGAUUUCAGCAUUCGGAAGAGGUUUUUCCAAGAUCCAGGUAGUCCUCGAUUUACAGCAAUCCGUUUAGUUACCGUUCCGAAAUUACAACGGCGCUGACUUGUGACCAUUUUUCACAGCUACUACUUGUUGUAGCACCCCUAGGUUCAGGGGUUCAAAAUUCGGACACUUGGCAACGGACCCGUAUUUAUGACGGUCGCAUCGCCCUGGAAUCACGUGAUUUCCCCUUUUGUGACCUUCUGACAAACAGCAGGGAAGCCAGCUUCACUUAACAACCGUGUUUACUAGCUUGACAACUGCAAGGAUUCACUUAACAUCUCUGGAAAGAGAGGUCGUAAAACGGGGCAAAAUUCACCGAACGACUAUCCCGCUUAGCAACGGAAGCUUUGGGCUCAAUUGUGGCGAACCACCACGAUUGAUAAGGCAACAUUCGAUGGGAUUGGAAAUAUGAAAAUCCAUCACUUUCCAGAGCUUUUCUGAUGCUUGGGAGAAGCAACUGUGACGAAGGCAUCAGGCUAUAGAAAGGAAGAAUUCCAGUCCUAUCUUAACCGUGAAAGCCAGCUGGGCGACUUUGGGCCAAUCACCAGACGACGGUGAGUUCUAGUCCCGCCUUAGGCAUGAAAGCCACAUAGGUGACUUUGGGCCAA